rnacentral:rRNA from 1 species
GACAGAGGUGCCAAGCGUUAGGCGGAAUCACUGGGCUUAAAGCGUGUGUAGGCGGAUUUGUAAGUACCUUGUGAAAUCCCACGGCUCAACCGUGGAACUGCUCGGUAUACUGCUUAUCUUGAGCCACUUAGGGGCUACCGGAACAAAUGGUGGAGCGGUGAAAUGCGUAGAUAUCGUGAGGAAUACCAGAGGCGAAGGCGGCUACCUGGACAAUUGCUGACGCUCAGGCACGAAAGCGUGGGGAGCAAAAGGG